rnacentral:rRNA from 1 species
AAAUUGAAGAGUUUGAUCAUGGCUCAGAUUGAACGCUGGUGGCAGGCCUAACACAUGCAAGUCGAACGGUAACAGGAAGCAGCUUGCUGCUUUGCUGACGAGUGGCGGACGGGUGAGUAAUGUCUGGGAAACUGCCUGAUGGAGGGGGAUAACUACUGGAAACGGUAGCUAAUACCGCAUAACGUCGCAAGACCAAAGAGGGGGACCUUCGGGCCUCUUGCCAUCGGAUGUGCCCAGAUGGGAUUAGCUAGUAGGUGGGGUAACGGCUCACCUAGGCGACGAUCCCUAGCUGGUCUGAGAGGAUGACCAGCCACACUGGAACUGAGACACGGUCCAGACUCCUACGGGAGGCAGCAGUGGGGAAUAUUGCACAAUGGGCGCAAGCCUGAUGCAGCCAUGCCGCGUGUAUGAAGAAGGCCUUCGGGUUGUAAAGUACUUUCAGCGGGGAGGAAGGGAGUAAAGUUAAUACCUUU